ensembl:lncRNA
GGGAAGAGGCUGAAGUUUGAGAAAUUCAGAAAAGGAAACCUUUAUCAAAAGGGAGCUAGCCCCAAUUUCCGCUUAGGUUCAUGUCGACUGGAAACAGGUGGAAGCCCUGAGUGAGUGUGUGUGAAAUGAACAUGGAGUCCUGCAGAAGGAAGGAAUGUUCUACCAGCGAGCGUCCUCUGGAUCCAACCUGUUAGGAGCCUGUGGGACGAGAAUUUAUGGAUGUGUUUUCAAUUUCUCUGACAGAAUCUGUUUGGAUUGAGGACGGCUGUUUCAUCUUUGAAAUAUGUGUUCCAUAACAAGCACUUGAAUCACACAUCAAUUGCUCCCUUCAUUCUGUGAGCCAAGCCCUGACUAAAGGGGUUUGGAAAUCCCCACAAGGUGCUCUCUGCUUAUUGCUCAUUCAGAAAGAAAAAAACAUGUCUUUAAUGAAAUGCAAUAUUGAGGAACAGCCAGAAAUAGAUGCUCCCUAUCUGCAUUCACAUAUGGUAGCUUCUUUCUGGCCAAUUGACGACCAAUGAACUGGGGAAGAGCUUUAACAAUGGGCACUCCAAGCACCCUGUGCUCAGCCGAAGCACGCUGGUCCUGAUGGAAGUUGAUGGAGAUGGACAUUUCUAGUCCUUUCUCAACCCAUGAAAGCCCAGGAAACCCAUGCAUGACCCAGACUUUUAUUUGCAAGGCCAUCCUGGUUAGCUCUAGCUAAGCCUCUAGAAUUAAAACUGAUGGGCUGUCACUUUUCAGACAAAUUCUAUUUGUUCAUUCUCCCCCUCUGGAUUUUAACAACAUCAUGGUGACAGGAAAUGUCCAAGGCCCACAAAACGCUGUUCUUUCAUGAGUUUUACUAACAGACUCAUUUCUACAUUAACACUAUGCUGGAGAGAUUUUUCUCUGUCUGGAAGUGCAGAGAGUAUUGAGUUUUAGGUUGCCUGAAAAUAAGCAAGCUAUACACUUUCUUGUGUUCCAUGAAUUCUUGCUCCAAAUUUCAAACUAAUCAAUACAUAGUUCAGUAUCCAUGCAUACUGAUGCUUUUCUGCUCUUCGAGCCAAUAUAAAGGUAGAGAGAAAUGGAAUUUUACCAAGUAGCUUCCUUUCUAUAAUUUCCCAUUAAUUGGGAGACAGGUUUUUUAAAAAAUAUAUCCCUUAAGAAAUCUGAGUUUUUGCUUUGUUUUGUUUUUUGGAAAAAUGACUGCAGGGACUGGGAAAAAAGCAUUUGGCUAGUCUGAUCUGUGUUUACUUUCUGUGGCCUUAUAAUUAAACUAAAGUGUUAUAUGUCCUUUAACAACACAAAAUUAACUGAAGUAUUUCCAACUAAAGCUACUGAGCUUCAGAUGAUGUCUACCAUUUGCCUGGUCAUAUUCCAUGCCAAGUACUGUACAGCAAUUACCUCAUUGAAUUCUCACAGCCAUGCUGCUGUGGCAAGAGCAGUAGUUCACUCUACAGAGGUGGGGAAACCCAGGCUCAGACAAGUUCAGUCCCUUUGACAAUGGCACACGGAGCCAGGACUCAAUGGAGCUGGAACUCAAGUGCAGUCCUAUCGGCCUGUGACAUUGGUGUGACUCCCUGAAAACUCAAUAUUGAAAUUCUGUUGGAAGACUAUUCUGGCUGGGCGCAGUGACUCACGUCUGUAAUCUCAGCCCUUUGGGAGGCCGAGGCGGACGAAUCACUUGAGGUCAGAAAUUCGAGACCAGCUUGGCCAACAUGGUGAAACCCUGUCUCUACCAAAAAUAUGGAAAAUUAGCCAGGCGUGAUGCUGUGCAGCUGUAAUCCUAUUUACUAAGGAGGAUGAGACAGGAGAAUCACUUGAACCCAGGAGGCAGAGGCUGCAGUGAGCCAAGAUCACGCCACCGCACUCCAGCCUGGGCAGCAGGGUGAGACUCUAUCUCAAAAAAAAAAAAAAAAAA